rnacentral:lncRNA from 10 species
GUAAAACUAGCUGUACUAUGUUUGCAUCUUUAUGUAUAUCUAAAAUUAUUUUAAAAUGAAAUCUUUGAUUUUUUAUUUUUAAUUAAAAAAGACAGGCAUGCAUAUGUUAUCCCAGCUUCUGGGGAGGCUGACUUGGGAGGAUUGCUUGAGCCCAGGAGUUCCAAACUGAAGUGAGCCAUGAUUGUGUCACUGCACUCCAGCUUGGGAAACAGAGGGAGACCAAGACUCAAAAAAAAAAACUGGCCUCAGAAGGAAUUUUAUGGAACCUUGUAUUCUGUUGAAUACCAGAAUUAUAUCAGCAAUCCCAAAGUCACCAAAUGGGCAUCAUCAUGACAGCAGACCGUGAUCAUGGGCUACAUUCUCCGUACCAGCUUCAUAGCUCCAGUGAGAAAAUAAAUUCCUGCAUCCAGGAGAUGUGGAGUAAGAGAUACAGCUGCCCUUGACCAUAUUUCUUACUUCCGAGAAGAUCGUAGCAGUAAUUCAGAAUCUCAUCCAGGAUACCUCAUCACAGGUACAUGUCAUGUCUCCUUAGAAUUCUCUGACUGUCACAGUUUUUCGGAGUUUCCUUAUUUUUGAUGCCAUUAAUAUUACUAAUGUGGGAUUUGUCUGAUGUUUCUCUAAUGAUAAGACUGGAUUUGUGGGUUUAGGGGAGGAAGAUCACGAGGAAAAGUGUCAUUUUUAUUUAUUUAUUUAUUUAUUUAAUUUUGAGACAGUGUCUCACUCUCUCUCCCAGGCUGGAGUGCAGUGUCAUGAGCUUGGCUCACUACAGCCUCCAUCUUCUGUGCUUAAGGAUCCUUCCCUCUCAACCUCCAAGGUAGCUGAGACUACAGGUAUGUGCCACCAUGCUGGACUAAUUUAUUGUUGUUGUUGUUGUUUGUUAGAUUUUUGGUAGAGGCAAGGUUUCACCAUGUUGCCCAGGCCAGAGUCAAACUCCUGGGCUCAAGUGAUAUUUAUUUUGUUAUAGAGAUGGGGUCUUAAUGUGGUGCCCAGGCUAGUCUGGGAUUACAGGUGUGAGCCACUGUGCCUUGCCAAAAACUGCCAUUCUCAUCAUAUCGUACCAAGAGUACAAACUCAACAAGGGUACAAACUGUCAACCAGAGUAGACAUUCAUUAUUGGCAGAAUGUCUACAAAUUCCUUUAAACCUUCACCAUAAACAUGUGCCUACUCUCUUCCAAUUAUUUCAUGUGUAUUAAUUUAUUCAUUUAUACAUGCAUCUUUUAUUUAUAUCAUUAUCUAAAUAUGGAGAUUUAUUUUACAAUGCGUAUGUGCUAUUUUUUUUUUUUUGAGACAGAGCCUUUCUCUGUUGCCCAGGCUGGAGUGCAAUGGUGCGAUCUCAGCUCAUCGCAACCUCUGCCCCCUGGGUUCAAGCGAUUCUAGUGCCUCAGUUUCCUGACUGGCUGGGAUUACAGGCAUGAGACACUACACCUGGCUAAGUUUUGUGUUUUUAGUAGAGACAGGGUUUCACCAUGUUGGCCAGGUUGGUCUUAAACUCCAUACCUCAGAUGAUCCACCCUCCUCGGCCUCCCAAAGUGCUGGGAUUACAGGCAUGAGCCACCAUGCUUGGCCGCUAUUUUUUUUUUUAAUUGCACAAAUUGUUCCAGUGUUGGCUAUUGGAAGGUUUUUAAGUUGUCUCUUGUAUCACUUUGAAAUACCUCCAUAAUUAAAGUUUGAUGUUGUGUGGUUGGUUGGUUUUGUUGUUGUUUGGCAUUUUCUUUUGUUCAGUCACUAUUAUAUGCUCCAGUCUAUGAAUUUAAUUGUGCUCCAGGGUAAUUUGGUAAUUUUAUAAUUUCUACGAAUGUUUCCAACACCAUAUGACCUAAUCCAGCACCAUAUAAAUGGAUCCACUCAUUCUCUCAUUUGUAUGUAAUCUAGCACUCCCUGCAAGCAAGUUGAUGUUGUUAAUUUAAUCAUGCUACCUGAACAAGGUAUAUUGCUAUGUAGAAAAAUACAAGUUGAAACAGUCAAAAUACUGUGUAAUUCCAUUCAUAUGACUCUGUAGAAAAGGAAAAAGUGUAGUGAUAGUAGAGUUCAGUGGUAACAAGGGGCUUGGGAGAGAUAUAGGUGACAUCAGUGAACUACCGAAGAUUUCUUUUGGGCAGUGAAAUUCCUCUUUGAUACUGUAACGGUGGAUACAUCAUAAUGUUUUCCAAAUCCUGAAGAACUUUGUAACACAAAGAGUGUAGCUAAUUUAUGCAAAUUAAAAACCUUAUUUAGGAGGUCACAAGUUUGCCUUUUCACAGUAUUUUACCUUUUCCAACUUAUAUUUUUUAGCAAUAUGCUUUUUAGAUUUUUGAAGUACACCUCAUGGUUUUUAGAUUUGCCUUCACCUAAUUGUUGUAGGACAGGUGAGUCACACAAUUGGGGCUUAUCCUGAGAGGGUUAUUAGCUUUGUCCAGGAAAGAAUUUAAGGGCAAGUGGGUGAUGUUAGACUGCAAUAUUUUAUUGAAUGGUACUGCUCCUAGCAGAGCAGGGCUAACUCUUAAGCAGUGUGUUCAGAGUUGGCAACAUAUAGGCCUCCUGGCAACUGUGUUUAUAUGCAAUCAAACCCACUUUUAAUUAUAUGCAAAUUGAGGGGCAGAUCAAUGCAAAUUGAGGCAGGAAAGGGGCAGUGACUUCUAGGUUGUCUCCAUGGAAAGGGGCAGUAACUUCUGAGCUGUAGCCAUGGAAUUUGUAAACAGUUAUGUGGUUGGUAGGAGUGUCAUAUGAGUGACAAAUGAAGACUGCCAGGGAUCACAUUUACCACAAUGUACACGCUUCUGUCAGUUUUUUCCCUUUAUCCUGUCUGGAGCAGAUCUUAUUUUGGUCAUCAAGGUUGUGAAACCAGAAAACAAGUCCUUCCAGUCUCCUACCUCAUAAUGACAAAAGACAUUGAGCAUAAUUUCAUGUGAUUUUGGAUAUGACUAUGGCUUUCUUUUGAGAGUUGGCUAUUUAAGAUUUUGCCAUUUUUGAUUGGGAUAUUUGCCUUUUUAAUUUUGAGUUGUAAGACAUUGUAUAUUCUGGAUAAUAGACCAUUAUCACCUAUAAAAUUUGCAAUUUUCACAUAUUUUCUGCCAUUCUUUGGGUGCCUCUUUAUAUUUGAUGGUGGACUUUAAAUUGCAAAAGAUUUUAAUUCUAAUGAAGUUUAAUAUUUCUAUAUUUUCUUCUUUCCUUUGUGCUUUUCAGUGUCAUAUCUUAAAACAUUGUUUAACCAGAGACCACAAAGAUGUAUUCCUGUGUUCCUUUUUAUGGGUUGGCCCUGUUUAGCUCUUAUAUUUAGAUGGAUUAUCAUUUUGAGUCAAUUAUGUUUCUGGUAUGAGGCAAGAGUCUAACUUGCAUGUGGAUAUCCACUUGACCCACAAACAUUUGACAAGAAAAUAUUGCUUCAUACCUAAUUUAUUUGGCCACAGUAUAAAAGCAUUUCACCAUAAAUGUAGGGAUUCAUUUUUCAGUAUUAUAUUCUCUACUCCAUUGAUCAAUACAUAUAUCCCUAUACUAGUACCACAAAUCUUGAUUACUAUUACUUUGUAGUAAGUUUUGCAAUCAAGAAGCAUAUGUCUACUAUGCAAACCCUUUUUGUCCUUCUCAAGAGUGUUUUGGCUGCUCAUGAUCUAUAUUAUAUAUAAUUUUAGGAUAAACUUCUGAAUUUAGGGGAAGGUAAUGCCACCUGGUGUUUUGAGAGAAGUUGCAUUAAUUCUAUAGAUCCAUUUGGAAAAUAUUGCCAACCUAACAAUAUGCAUUCUGUAGUUUUUAGUGUACAUAUCUUAUACUUAAUUUGAUAAGGUUAUUCCUAAGUAUUUUUGAUGUGAUCUUAAUUGGAACGAUUUUCUGAGUUUUGUUUUUAGAUUGUUAAUUGCUAGUAUAGAGAAAUUUAAAAUAUUUUAUAUAUUUUAUAUGCUGCAAACUUCUUUGAACUCAUCUUUAAAUUCUAAACAUAUUUGAUAGAGUCCUUUGGACUUUUUAUACAUGAGAUCAUGUCAUUUGCAAACAGUCGGAGUUUGACUUCCUUUCCAUACUAGAAACGUUAUAUUUAUUUUUCUAAAUGAAUUGCCCUGUCUACAUUCUCCAGUACAAUGUUGCGAACAAGUGUCAACAGUGGAAAUAUUUGACUUCUUUCUAAUAUCAGAGAAAUUAGUGAACCUUUCAGAUUACUUAUGAUGAUAUGUGAGCUUUUCAUAGAUGCCCUUUGAAAUGAAGAAAGUUCUCUUAUCUGCCUAAUUUGCUGCAUGUUUUUAUAAUACUGAAUCUGGGAAUUUUCAAGUGCUUGUUGCACACCUUCUGAGACGAUUGUGUAGUUUUUAUUCUUUAUUAAUAUAGUGUAUGACAUUAAUUGUAUCAUAUGUUGAACCAAAUUUGCAUUCCUGAGGUAAAUACCUUUUGCCAUAGUUUAUAAUACUUUCUACAUGUUGCUGAUUUCAUUUGAUAAUAUCUCGCUGCUGAUUUUUGUCUCUGUAUUUAUAAGGCAUAUUGGUCUUCAUUCUCCUUAUUUGAAAUGUCUUUGUGUAGUUGUUCAAUCAGGGUAAACUAAUUCAUAGUAUACAAUGGGAAGUGAUCUAUUUUCUACUUCUUUAUUAUUAUUGUAUUGUUUUGAAAUAUUUUUGAUAAAUUAGUAUUAAUUUUAAGUGAUUUUAAUAACACAUCAAUGAGUUCCUGAUGAGGGCAGGGAGGUGAAUCCUAAGAACAAUCAUGUGAGUUUGGAAGGAGACCCUUCCCCAGCUGAGCCUCAGCCUGAGCCAUCCCCUACAUCUAGACCGAAGACCCAGAGAAACCGUGAGUAGUAUGUGUGUGGUUCUGAGCCACUAAGGUAUGUAGUAAUUUGUUAUGCACCAAGUAGUAAGUAAUAUACCUGACAGUAAUUGUUAGGUGGUAUUCUGGAUUAGGUCCUGGAAUAGAUAAGUAUAUGAUUAUUAGAAAACCUGGUAAAAUAUGAAGGAAGUUUGUAGAUCAGUUAAUAGUCUUGAAAAACAGUUAAAUUCUUAGUUUUCAUGAAUAUGCUAUGGUUACAAUAUAUAUUAACAUUCUAGUUAUCUGAAUGGUAUAUGAAACUGUCUGUACUUACCUAUGUGCAUUUAUGUAAAUCUGCAGUUAUUUCAAAAUAAAUAUGUUUUUUAAUAUUAUUAUUAUUUUUUUAAGAAAAGUAAGCAAGUAAAGACAUCAGCAAAAAACUUUUGCCUCCAGAUACAAGUGGGCAUGUAGGGAGAGAAUAGUAAACUGGCUUUUCUUUUCUUUUCUAGGCAACAUUCGAAACCCAGGUGCCACUCCUUCAGGAAGGUACCAUCAAGCUCCAAGGACUCAUCCUCUUUCUCCUUCCCCACUACCUAGUCAUUAGAGCGUCAGCAUCCACUUCCUGAAAGGAAGAUGCCUGUUUUUCACAUAUCCCAGAAAGCCUCAUUUUAGGACAGCAUUUAGCAGAGUGUAUUCAGGAUCCCACUAACCUUUUCGGAAGACAUGACUUCCAGAUGAUAUAAGGCAAGAAUAAGAAAUUUCAGUGACAGGGAACAGAAAUCAUAUUUCUGCAUUCAGGAUCAUGUUUUCUUGGCUCCAUCAGGAACUGUGCAGGACUGUGCACUCUGUUGAUACUCACAUGGUGGAAUUAUAUUGCCCUUGGCCAACCCUAAAGCCAUCAAGAUAGCAGGUUUGGAAUAAUUCACUGUCGAAGUCUUCUUGAGCUGAGCAGUCAUGUGAGCUUGGAAGAUGAUCCCUCUCCAGCUGAUCCUUCAGCUCAGGCCAUCAUCUACAUCUGGAUUCCUGACCCGGAGAAACUAUGAGUAAUGUGUGCUGCUUUUGAGCCACUAAGCUACAUGAAUUAAUGAAGGAUCAUUAUUAAGUUUUUAAUGGGUCAAGAGAAAGUUACCACUGAGGUCUUCUCUACCUGGGCAACAAUUGACUCCUAACAACCACUAUAAGCUUGGAAGAUGAUCCCUCCCCAGCUGAUCCUUCAGGAAUUUCCACUGAAGUACCUCUGGUUGAAAAGGAGAACAGAGACUUUUUUCACAGCCACAGGACAAAAUUUGUUCAGAAUUAAAUGCUGAAAAAGGAGAACCUGACACCAUUAUUCAUAAUUUCACUGUAUAUGAAGAGCAACCCUAUACUCCAUACAAACAACAUAGACUGUGGAAUUAUGUUGUGAAAUGUAAAGAGAAGAUGAUUCCCAAAUUUAAAGGAAACUGGAGGUGUUCUGGAGAAACAAAUAGAGGCUGGAGUGCCGUGGCACAAUUAUGGUUCACCAGCCUCAACCUCCUGGGAUCAAGCAAUCGUCUCACCUCAGCCUCCUGAGUAGCUGGACUGCAGG